GACCCCAGUAAUUCUUUUGGCAUCUUUCACAAUUUAUCUAUCUCAUAUCAAUAAUUAUAUUCUUUGAAUAAUAUUUGCCUUUGUCUUAUCUUGUACUUCUUGUUCAAUCUAGUACAAUUUUUUUCAAUCUUGUAUAUCAAAGCCCCAGCAUCCAGUACAUCCUUUCCUCUCUUUAUUUGCUUAACUUCUCUUUUCCUCCAUUUUGGUUUGCUUUUUUGAAAAUGUCUUUCUACUUCUGGCUAUUAGCUUCAUUUGUUCACUACAGUUUGUUGUAAUCAUUCAUUUUUAUUUUAUUUUCCUUUGAUAUUAUUGCAGAAUAGAGAAUAUCAACGAGGAAGAACUGUUGAAGGGUUCAACAUGCAACAAAUGUUCACUGUACUUUGCAAAAUGCUUUUAUCCCAAGCUCUUGUUCUGUUGGCAUACAAACACAAUACCUUUUUUAGACUCUGUUUAUUUUGUGAAAAAUAAUUUAUAUAUGAAAAAUAUUUUUCAUGGAAAAUA